CGUGUAUAAAAGCUUCGAACCGAAGUCUUUGCUAACAGUCGCAGCUGCAGCCGAGGAUCCCAUCAGCUGAAAGUCUGCAGAUCCUAGAUUGCCAGCCCAACUCCGUCUGCAAAAUGAAGCUCUUGGCCAUUGCUGUCAUCUUGUGCCUCGCUGUGGCGUACACUCAGGCUUUACCUGCCGAAAUGCCAUCUUCGCCGCUGCUGCUGAGUCGGGAGGCCAGGUCACCAGGCCCAUCCCC